UCUUCAUUUCACGUGCUCUCUCGCUUCUCUGACCGGUGAGAGAGUGUGCGAAAUGAAGAGA
rfam:Pristionchus pacificus strain PS312 contig12931, whole genome shotgun sequence.